ensembl:lncRNA
UCUGGAAGUUGGUCCAAACUCCUCAGGUCGCUGAACCCCCCCUCCCACCUGAGAGACGAUAUGGUGGUUUCUGGUGAUCAUCUCAUUGGACUUCUUAUUUUACCCCAUGAAUACAAAAUAACCAGCGAAGCUUUGAGUGCGCCAGGUUCAGAGACAGUUCACCGCGCACAGACGCCUCACCAAGGUCCAGCAGUCCAAACCUCUCCUCUCAGCUGUGUGGCUCAUUAUGUUUUACCGGGAAAUCGGAUCCUCCAGAAAACUGUGUUCAGAGGGAAGAGGACCAGAGGUCAGAGGCUAAAGCACCCACCACAGAGGGACCUUUGAUGCUCCACGGUCAUGACUCUGGCCUCGCACAACGCACGCCCUCCUCCUCCGUCCCUCUGAAGUGUUUCUGGGAACUGGUGUGUUUCUGCACCCUGAGUCCUGGGGUCUCUGACCCGUCGAAGGAGUUAGGAGUCAGCCUGCUUCCCCUCUCCAACACCCAGUGGUGGAGAGGGGAGGAGAGACCUCCUUCACUAGUGGCUUUCCUCUGGUUUGGCAUACGUCUCAGUGGAAAUCGCAGAACUCCUCCACUGGCUGAGCGGUGGUUUGAGAUGCUGCUGUGAUAUCUCUGGUGUCUGCGUGUUCACGGUUUAUAUUGGCCCUGUGUGGAAUAUGCAUGACGAGGCUUUCUGGUUAGGUUGAAACUCUGAAUGCCUUUCCUCCCGGACCGGUUUUAUCUGUGUUCUCUGAUUGGAUAUUUCAUAUGAAACAAAGUAACAAAGUUACUAGUUGAUAGUUUGAAUCUGGGGUAACGGCAACACCACACUGGAACGAACGGCGUCGCACCCAGAUGGACUGUCUGAACGGGUAACCGGAGACACUCGUUCCCAUGGAAACUAAGCAGCAGGGAGGGAGAUGUUUUAUCGAUUCGUUGUCUGGACGUACAAAUGACAUUCAUGACUGGUCUGGACUAUCUACCACCCACAAAACCGCCUGGAUUAGUUGGAUAUCCGCUGUGCUGAGGACAGAACCAGACAGCCUCAGCCUCCUCCUCUUCACCCCCCUGGGUGCUCCAGGAUUAACCGUGAUGCUCGAGCUCGGUGUUGCCAGAUCAGGCCAGAUUCGCUGCAGCCGGGGUUGCCAGAUUGGGUGGAAAAUCCGUCCCAAUCUGGCAACACUGCUGCCGGUAGAAGGAUAAUAACGAUUCAAAGGGGAACCUGAGGGGUUCUGAAGCCGCCCCCCCCCGGAGCAGCAGUAAACCCCCCCCACCCCGGACUAGGGAUGUUGAACCCCCUCUGUGGAACCAGUCUGGCUCACUGCCCAUGGUGAGCUGCUCCGUGCCCCCCCCUCCCCGCCCCGCCCCAGUGGAGGUAGGGGGCUGGGGGUCAGGGUGUCCUCAUCCUCCCCCUGGAGUCUCCUCGCCAGACUACCAGAUGUCUGGUCCCAGGCCGGGCUAAUCUGCCUCCAGGCACCAAGCUCCUUAUAGACCUUUAACUACAGUCACAUGACGGAGGGCACAUGACCGGGGUCACCUGACGGGCGGUCACAUGACCGGAGUCACCUUCUGCUCCUCAGUCACUCAAUCUGACUGGACCGGCCGUCUGAGUGUCUCUCCCCCUCAUACCUGUGUUCCUCCUCACCCCUGACCCCUGACCCCUCCUCUGAGGAGCUGGAUUAGGGUUCAGAGUGUACCCGUGCGGUGUGUCUCCGCAGUAACGCGGUUGGCGUGGUCAGGGGGCGUGGUCAGAGGCCUCUCUGUGCUAAGCUGUGUCUUGUCUGCGGCAUUGUUUCCUGGAGCCGCCGCGGGCCGGAACAAUCCCCGGUAUGCGGCCGUACAAUGGCUCUCUCUCCGGGCCCUCAGAACAGGUUCAGCAGGACACUCUCAGUUCAGCAGAACACUCUCUCAGUUCAGCAUGGCACUCUCAGUUCAGCAGGACACUCUCAGUUCAGCAGGACACUCUCAGUUCAGCAGGACACUCUCAGUUCAGCAGGACACUCUCAGUUCAGCAGGACACUCUCAGUUCCACUCUUGCUGGGGCAGAGCUCUGAUUGGUGAGGCUCGAAGGCCCAUUGUCUGAUUGGUCAGGUUGUCGGUCAGGUGAGCAGCACCGCUCUGAACAGGAGCCUCCAGGUGAUGACAGGCAGCCAAUAGUUGGAGAGCAAUGGGGAGGAGGGCAGGAAGAGGGAUCUCUAAUGGGUCUCACUCCGCCGCAAAAUCGGAGCCGUUCCGGGCUAGUUCGGAGCAAGAGCCAGUGUUUUGGUUUCACAUCGCUAGAGAACCGGCUCCGGCCUGUAAAAGCCGGUUAAACUCCAACCCCAGGAUUGAGCUGGGCUAGAACGAGAACUGCCUUUACGCCAGGGGCAGGGGGCGGGGGCAGGGUUAUCCUUACCUUCAUAAACAGGAAGUCCAACGAAGACCGGCAUUUUUAAAAACACCGAAGUGAACAAUGGACGUGAACGCGUGUAUGGUUCGUUCUUUGAAUAUUCCGAUUUAAAACAAAAUCAGAAAAAAACUUAACAGUCGUCUUUUGGUUUUUCUGAUUUGGUUUUGAAACUGAAAAAGGGCAAAAGGAAUAAAAAUCUGUGUUUGUUUUUUAGAUUUUUUUUAAAUCGGAAUAUUCAAAGAACGAACCAUACACGGAUUGACGUGAAGACGAAAUUAUUGUUGUUGUGUUUGAAACUGG